GAUGAACGCUGGCGGCGUGCCUAAUACAUGCAAGUCGAGCGAACAGACGAGGAGCUUGCUCCUCUGACGUUAGCGGCGGACGGGUGAGUAACACGUGGAUAACCUACCUAUAAGACUGGGAUAACUUCGGGAAACCGGAGCUAAUACCGGAUAAUAUAUUGAACCGCAUGGUUCAAUAGUGAAAGACGGUUUUGCUGUCACUUAUAGAUGGAUCCGUGUCGCAUUAGCUAGUUGGUAAGGUAACGGCUUACCAAGGCGACGAUGCGUAGCCGACCUGAGAGGAGGAUCAGCCACACUGGAACGGAGACACGGUCCAGACUCCUACGGGAGGCAGCAGUGGGGAAUAUUGGACAAUGGGCGCAAGCCUGAUCAAGCCAUACCGCGUGGGUGAAGAAGGCCUUCGGGUUGUAAAGCCCUUUUGUUGGGAAAGAAAAGCAGCAGGUUAAUACCCCGCUGUUCUGACGGUACCCAAAGAAUAAGCACCGGCUAACUUCGUG
rnacentral:rRNA from 1 species